GAGUUUGAUCUUGGCUCAGAAUGAACGCUGGCGGCAUGCCUAACACAUGCAAGUCGAACGAAGGCUUCGGCCUUAGUGGCGCACGGGUGCGUAACGCGUGGGAAUCUGCCCUUUGCUUCGGAAUAACAGUGGGAAACUACUGCUAAUACCGGAUGAUGUCUUCGGACCAAAGAUUUAUCGGCAAGGGAUGAGCCCGCGUAGGAUUAGGUAGUUGGUGGGGUAAAGGCCUACCAAGCCGACGAUCCUUAGCUGGUCUGAGAGGAUGAUCAGCCACACUGGGACUGAGACACGGCCCAGACUCCUACGGGAGGCAGCAGUGGGGAAUAUUGGACAAUGGGGGAA
rnacentral:rRNA from 1 species